rnacentral:rRNA from 1 species
GAUGAACGCUGGCGGCGUGCCUAAUACAUGCAAGUCGAGCGAACAGACGAGGAGCUUGCUCCUCUGACGUUAGCGGCGGACGGGUGAGUAACACGUGGAUAACCUACCUAUAAGACUGGGAUAACUUCGGGAAACCGGAGCUAAUACCGGAUAAUAUAUUGAACCGCAUGGUUCAAUAGUGAAAGACGGUUUUGCUGUCACUUAUAGAUGGAUCCGCGCCACAUUAGCUAGUUGGUAAGGUAACGGCUUACCAAGGCAACGAUGCGUAGCCGACCUGAGAGGGUGAUCGGCCACACUGGAACUGAGACACGGUCCAGACUCCUACGGGAGGCAGCAGUAGGGAAUCUUCCGCAAUGGGCGAAAGCCUGACGGAGCAACGCCGCGUGAGUGAUGAAGGUCUUCGGAUCGUAAAACUCUGUUAUUAGGGAAGAACAAAUGUGUAAGUAACUAUGCACGUCUUGACGGUGCCUAAUCAGAAAGCCACGGCUAACUACGUG